UCGUGUCGUGAGAUGUUGGGUUAAGUCCCGCAACGAGCGCAACCCUUGUCUUUAAUUGCCAUCAUUUAGUUGGGCACUUUAAAGAGACUGCGGUGUUAAGCCGGAGAAGUGGGGAUGACGUCAAGUCCUCAUGGCCUUUAUGCCCAGGGCUACACACGUGCUACAAUGGGCGGUACAAAGAGAAGCAACCUCGCGAGGGUGAGCAAAUCUCAAAAAGCCGUUCUCAGUUCGGAUUGAAGUCUGCAACUCGACUUCAUGAAGUCGGAAUCGCUAGUAAUCGCGGAUCAGCAUGCCGCGGUGAAUACGUUCCCGGGCCUU
rnacentral:rRNA from 1 species